GCAAAUGGUUCUUUGUUAUGCUUAUAAUAUUCUCAGUAGGUUACUAGUUACAUAAUAAAAUGAGCAGUUAGAAGAUUCUCGUUGACUUGCUGAGACGAAAUUUGAGGAAAUGCAUUGAAUGUUUUAUAUGAUCAAGUCACAUUCAUAUCCACUUCAUGCAUGCUCAUGAAUAAUUUCAAAACAUGUUAGGUUUUCCUAUCUAAUAGGGUUCACCGAUCACCCAUGUCAAGCCUGCUCUGCAAUUCCCCAAAUUUCCAUGCCCUGUGCACUCUGCCAUUCCAGAAAUGCCGGUCCAUUCUCCUUCCCCAGAGCCAAUCCAAAUCUAUUUUGGCCAUUUAUCGUCUUCCUCCUAGUCGGGCUUACUCUUGCCCAAAAGGGUAUGCCAGAUUCUCACUCUCCAACACACACGAACUUUUUCCGACGCGGAAGGCAAAGGAUUCUCCGGUGUGGUGACGAUCCGGCCAUGUGCUCGGACCGGGAGAGGAAUCCAUGGGGUGGUGACACUUGUUGUUUUCAAAAGUUUUGCAAGGAUAUCACAAGCGAUUCAAACCACUGUGGGGGAUGUGGGCAUGCUUGUGGUUUUGGGCUUGUUUGUUGCGAUGGAAAGUGUGUUGAUGUUCAAAGUGAUUCUAUGCACUGUGGUGCUUGUUUUGAGGAGUGUCCUGGUGAAAAUAGGUGCUCCUAUGCAAUGUGUGAUUAUGGUGGAUGAUUGAUUUUGCUUGAAUUCUUAACCAUUUGGUCAAUAGAUUGUGUGUUAUUUUGGUCA